UCCUACGGGAGGCAGCAGUGGGGAAUAUUGGGCAAUGGAGGAAACUCUGACCCAGCGACGCCGCGUGCGGGAUGAAGGCCUUCGGGUUGUAAACCGCUUUCAGUAGGGAAGAAGCGAAAGUGACGGUACCUACAAAAGAAGCACCGGCUAACUAUGUGCCAGCAGCCGCGGUAAUACAUAGGGUGCAAGCGUUGUCCGGAAUUAUUGGGCGUAAAGAGCUCGUAGGUCGUUUGUUACGUCGGAUGUGAAAACCUGAGGCUCAACCUCAGGCCUGCAUUCGAUACGGGCAAACUAGAGUUUGGUAGGGGAGACUGGAAUUCCUGGUGUAGCGGUGGAAUGCGCAGAUAUCAGGAGGAACACCAAUGGCGAAGGCAGGUCUCUGGGCCAAUACUGACACUGAGGAGCGAAAGUCUGGGGAGCGAACAGGAUUAGAUACCCUGGUAGUCCAGACCGUAAACGGUGGGCACUAGUUGUGGGAACCUUCCACGGUUUCUGCGACGCAGCUAACGCAUUAAGUGCCCCGCCUGGGGAGUACGAUCGCAAGAUUAAAACUCAAAGGAAUUGACGGA
rnacentral:rRNA from 1 species